rnacentral:rRNA from 1 species
CUCCGAAUUCCACUGAUUUAUAUCCGGGAGUCAGACUGCGAGUGAUAAGAUCCGUAGUCGAAAGGGAAACAGCCCAGACCACCGAUUAAGGUCCCUAAAUAUGUGUUAAGUGGAAAAGGAUGUGGAAUUGCACAGACAACUAGGAUGUUGGCUCAGAAGCAGCCACCAUUUAAAGAGUGCGUAAUAGCUCACUAGUCGAGUGAUCCUGCGCCGAAAAUGUAACGGGGCUAAACACAUUACCGAAAUCGUGGAUGCAGCUUUGCUGCAUGGUAGGAGAGCGUUCUAAGGGCGGUGAAGCCGGACCGUAAGGACCGGUGGAGCGCUUAGAAGUGAGAAUGCCGGUAUGAGUAGCGAAAGACAGGUGAGAAUCCUGUCCACCGAAUGACUAAGGUUUCCUGGGGAAGGCUCGUCCUCCCAGGGUUAGUCGGGACCUAAGCUGAGGCCGAGAGGCGUAGGCGAUGGACAACGGGUUGAUAUUCCCGUACCGGUCUGAUUUGUUUGAGCAAUGGAGGGACGCAGGAGGCUAACGAUGCGCACUAUCGGAUGUGCGUCCAAGCAGCAAGUCUGUCGGCGAGUCAAAUGCUUGCCGGCUCAAGGACAAGCUGUGACGGGUAUGAACGAUUUAUCGUUCUAAGUGAGUGACGUCACACUGCCAAGAAAAGCUUCUAGUUAGAAUCAGACCGCCCGUACCGCAAACCGACACAGGUAGUCGGGUCGAGAAGACCAAGGUGAGCGAGAGAACUCUCGUUAAGGAACUCGGCAAAAUGACCCCGUAACUUCGGGAGAAGGGGUGCUGAUCGCAAGAUCAGCCGCAGUGAAUAGGCCCAGGCGACUGUUUAUCAAAAACACAGGUUUCUGCAAAAUCGUAAGAUGAAGUAUAGGGGCUGACGCCUGCCCGGUGCUGGAAGGUUAAGAGGAUGGGUUAGCGCAAGCGAAGCUCAGAAUUGAAGCCCCAGUAAACGGCGGCCGUAACUAUAACGGUCCUAAGGUAGCGAAAUUCCUUGUCGGGUAAGUUCCGACCCGCACGAAAGGCGUAACGAUCUGGGCACUGUCUCAACGAGAGACUCGGUGAAAUUAUAAUACCCGUGAAGAUGCGGGUUACCCGCGACAGGACGGAAAGACCCCAUGGAGCUUUACUGUAGCUUGAUAUUGGGUGUUUGUACAACUUGUACAGGAUAGGUAGGAGCCGUAGAAGUCGGGACGCUAGUUUCGACGGAGGCAUCGGUGGGAUACUACCCUCGUUGUAUGAACACUCUAACCCACGCCGGCAAUCACGGCGGGAGACAGUGUCAGGUGGGCAGUUUGACUGGGGCGGUCGCCUCCUAAAAGGUAACGGAGGCGCCCAAAGGUUCCCUCAGAAUGGUUGGAAAUCAUUCGCAGAGUGUAAAGGCAUAAGGGAGCUUGACUGCGAGACCUACAAGUCGAGCAGGGACGAAAGUCGGGCUUAGUGAUCCGGUGGUUCCGCAUGGAAGGGCCAUCGCUCAACGGAUAAAAGCUACCCUGGGGAUAACAGGCUUAUCUCCCCCAAGAGUCCACAUCGACGGGGAGGUUUGGCACCUCGAUGUCGGCUCAUCGCAUCCUGGGGCUGUAGUCGGUCCCAAGGGUUGGGCUGUUCGCCCAUUAAAGC